UGGCGGACGGGUGAGUAAUGUCUGGGAAACUGCCUGAUGGAGGGGGGAUAACUACUGGAAACGGUAGCUAAUACCGCAUAACGUCGCAAGACCAAAGAGGGGGACCUUCGGGCCUCUUGCCAUCGGAUGUGCCCAGAUGGGAUUAGCUAGUAGGUGGGGUAACGGCACACCUAGGCGACGAUCCCUAGCUGGUCUGAGAGGAUGACCAGCCACACUGGAACUGAGACACGGUCCAGACUCCUACGGGAGGCAGCAUG
rnacentral:rRNA from 1 species